rnacentral:lncRNA from 1 species
GAACAGCAUGGGAAAGAUGAUCUGUCUGCCCUGUGGAGUCUGUGCAAACACUGUUUCUUCUUUAUAAUGGUUCUAGUAAAGGACUUUUCAUCCUCCCGCCUAUGCCGCUCCCAGGAUCCUCUACUAGACCUACAGCUCCAUCAAGAACCUACAGGCUGCAUCAUCCUGAGAGAAACAAGGAGAUGAAAACCAAGCUGCAAGAUCCAGCAGUGAAAAUAUUAAAAUAAAAAACGAC